GCUCCGUUGGUGAACCAGCGGAGGGAUCAUUACCGAGUUGUCAACUCCCAAACCCCUGUGAACAUACCCAACGUUGCUUCGGCGGGACCGCCCCGGCGCCCUCGGCGUCCCGGAACCAGGCGCCCGCCGGAGGACCCAAACUCUUGUUUAAACCAUAGUGGCAUAUUCUGAGUCUCACAAGAAAAAUGAAUCAAAACUUUCAACAACGGAUCUCUUGGCUCUG
rnacentral:misc_RNA from 1 species